AUUGAACGCUGGCGGCAGGCCUAACACAUGCAAGUCGAACGAGUGGCGGACGGGUGAGUAACGUCUGGGAAACUGCCUGAUGGAGGGGGAUAACUACUGGAAACGGUAGCUAAUACCGCAUACCAUCAGAUGUGCCCAGAUGGGAUUAGCUUGUUGGUGGGGUAACGGCUCACCAAGGCGACGAUCCCUAGCUGGUCUGAGAGGAUGACCAGCCACACUGGAAAUGAGACACGGGCCAGACUCCUAAGGGAGGCAGCAGGGGGGAAUAUUGCACAAUGGGCGAAAGCCUGAUGAAGCCAUGCCGCGUGUAUGAAGAAGGCCUUCGGGUUGUAAAGGACUUUCGGCAGGGAGGCGUUACCCGCAGAAGAAGCAACGGCUAAAUCCGUGCCAGCAGCCGCGGUAAUAC
rnacentral:rRNA from 1 species